rnacentral:ncRNA from 1 species
UUGAAAAGAGCAAACUUGUCGAAAGGCAGGGACGCAAAGCUAUAGGGCCUGUUCCAGAAGGAUGGCUGCCAGUUGCCAA